rnacentral:rRNA from 1 species
UACGGAGGAUGCAAGCGUUAUCCGGAAUGAUUGGGCGUAAAGCGUCCGCAGGUGGCAAUGUAAGUCUGCUGUCAAAGCGUCUGGCUCAACCAGAUAAAGGCAGUGGAAACUACAUAGCUAGAGUAAGGUAGGGGUAAAGGGAAUUCCUGGUGUAGCGGUGAAAUGCGUAGAUAUUGGGAAGAACACCGGUGGCGAAAGCGCUCUGCUGGACCUGCACUGACACUGAGGGACGAAAGCUAGGGGAGCGAAAGGG